UACGUAGGGUGCAAGCGUUAUCCGGAAUUCUUGGGCGUAAAGAGCUCGUAGGCGGUUUGUCGCGUCUGCUGUGAAAACUGGGGGCUCAACCCCCAGCCUGCAGUGGGUACGGGCAGACUAGAGUGCGGUAGGGGAGAUUGGAAUUCCUGGUGUAGCGGUGGAAUGCGCAGAUAUCAGGAGGAACACCGAUGGCGAAGGCAGAUCUCUGGGCCGUAACUGACGCUGAGGAGCGAAAGCGUGGGGAGCGAACAGG
rnacentral:rRNA from 1 species